rnacentral:rRNA from 1 species
UCGCUGACGAGUGGCGGACGGGUGAGUAAUGCUUGGGAACUUGCCUUUGCGAGGGGGAUAACAGUUGGAAACGACUGCUAAUACCGCAUAACGUCUACGGACCAAACGGGGCUUAGGCUCCGGCGCAGAGAGAGGCCCAAGUGAGAUUAGCUAGUUGGUGAGGUAAAGGCUCACCAAGGCGACGAUCUCUAGCUGUUCUGAGAGGAAGAUCAGCCACACUGGGACUGAGACACGGCCCAGACUCCUACGGGAGGCAGCAGUGGGGAAUAUUGCACAAUGGGGGAAACCCUGAUGCAGCCAUGCCGCGUGUGUGAAGAAGGCCUUCGGGUUGUAAAGCACUUUCAGUUGUGAGGAAAAGUGAGUAGUUAAUACCUGCUCACCGUGACGUUAGCAACAGAAGAAGCACCGGCUAACUCCGUGCCAGCAGCCGCGGUAAUACGGAGGGUGCGAGC